UACGGAGGGUACAAGCGUUGUUCGGAAUUACUGGGCGUAAAGCGCGUGUAGGCGGUCGGGUAAGUCAGAUGUGAAAGCCCCCGGCUUAACCGGGGAAUUGCAUUUGAAACUGCCUGGCUCGAGUUCGGGAGAGGAGAGUGGAAUUCCUGGUGUAGAGGUGAAAUUCGUAGAUAUCAGGAGGAACACCGGUGGCGAAGGCGGCUCUCUGGCCCGACACUGACGCUGAGACGCGAAAGCGUGGGGAGCAAACAGG
rnacentral:rRNA from 1 species